GAGAACUUCUGAGAAGCGGACUGGGAAAAGGGAAAAGCUGUACUGUGGGAAAGCAAGUGUUCUUCAUAAAUAAACAACAGAAUGGACUCUUGUGGGAAACUGCUGAAAUAAGGAGAAGCGAUGGAGAACGCAAAAGCACUGGAUGUCGUUCCACAGCUAAGCCAAGGAAAAAUCUUGAAAAUUAUGAACAUGGUGAAAAACAAAGAACUGAGCGUCGAAGAAGCCCUGGAUUUAGCAGAAAGAGAGAGAAAUGCAGAAGAAAAAGAAGAAAAGCAGAUGGCAUCGUGGGUGGAUUCCCUGGACUUGCCAAACAACUCGCAAUUCAACUUCAUUGUCUACAAAUAUAACCGCUACCGGUGGCAGAAAAGGAUUUUGCAGAUUGAUCUGAGCACCAAGACAAUUUUUAACAUAGAGAAGGGGAUUAUCAAAAAACAGUUCCCGUUUCCCCAAGUCAAAUCCUGUGCAUACGGUGAAGGAAGUCGUUUCAGAAUUAACUUCCAUGGACGCCAGGACUAUAUCCUGGAAGCAGCAUCGGUGGAUGAUAAAAAUAAGAUAAUACACCUCGUGAGUAAGAUUAUACAGAGUAACGCCUGCAGAGGGCUGGCAGGACCUUGCUGUGGUGAGCCUGAAAAAUGUGAUGUGAUCCACGAAGGAAUUUUGGAUCUACAGCUAGAGACGCCAAAGUCCAUUAAAUGGGUGAAACACUUUGUGCAGCUGAGCGAACGGGAGCUGAGCUUACAUUGCAUCGACCAACGGCAGAUGGAGACGGCGGCUCCUGUAGCAAAAACAAUUAACUUGUCAAGUGGAGAUGCAGUUGUCGGUGAGGAGGAUGGUUCUGGCACCUUCUUGCUUCAAACAAAGGAAGCCAAGUACUUAUUCCAAAUACCCUUUACUGUCCAGAACAACAAACUAGAGGACAUUAUCAAGCUCCGAAACGAGUGGAUGCUGCUCAUAGACAGAUACUGCUCGUUGCCAAAGGCAGAAUCCCUGAAUCAGGGGAAUGCUUCAGAAGCCGUGUGUGAGGAAGCUCACUGUUUAAAUGAAGGGAAGAUGGAACAGCCCAUCUGUUUCGGUUUGGAAUCUCCUACAGCUCCAGAGGCUGUGACUUUAGCCCACACUCUCCAGGAGAACCGUCCUUUGGUUUCAGCAUUGGGUCAGCUUCCUGGAAGAAUGGUAGAUGGGAAAGCCCCACCUCUUUUCCCCAAGUUGUCCAGCCAGCCUCCAACAUCAACAAGAACAAAAGUGUUCCACUGGGAAGUAGUUCCUCAGGAAAAGAUAGAGAAAUCAAUCUGGACAUCCUGCCACCUGGGCCAGAAAACCAUAGAUGUGGCUCGGCUUCACAACCAGUUUCGUAUUCAAGAAGUGGUGGGAACUCACGGCAAUGAGCCUCUCCUGACACAACAAAUUAUGUUGAACCCAAAAGUUGUGCAUAACUUCAACAUUUUUCUUAAAAGUUUCCGCAUAAAGCCAAGCCAGCUGAAAGAAAAAUUAUACAUUAUACAUGAAGACAGUGGUGGACUUAGCAUUGAGCAGAUUACAGCACUAAGAAGAUACCAGCCCACCGCAAAAGAUAUGGAAAUGUACAUGUCGUUCAAAGGGUCUCCUUCAGAACUGCAUCUGGUGGAUCAAUUUAUGCUAGAAAUGUGUAAAAUACCUAAUUUAUGCAAGAAACUUGACCUCUUGCAUUUCAUACGUGAACUACCAGAAUCCAUGGCUGAACUGGGGCCACUCAUAAACCAGAAGAUCAGGGCAUGCAAACAGCUGCAGGACAACCCAAGAUUUGUUGCUGUGCUGGAAUAUAUCUUAGCCAUUGGGAACUACUUAAAUGAAAAUGCUGGGAGAGAGAAGGCCAAAGGCUUUCAGCUGUCUUCUCUGGCUAAAUUAUCAUUGCUACGAGGGAAGGAGAGGAAUUUCACCUUGCUCCAUGCCCUUGUGGAACAGAUCUUCUUACAUGAGCCUGAUUUGGCUACAUUUUCUCAGGAGUUGACAGAAUUUAAAGCUGUUUCUGCUGCUUCCAUCAAAGGUCUCAGUGCUGAAGUUGAAGUUUUACGGAAAGAAUUAGACAGCAUUGCUGAGUGCAGAAGACUAAUAAAACCCAAGGUUACCAAGGCAGGAGCUAUGGAGUCACAGUUCUACAAAGAGCUGAAGGAUUUGAUUCAGGCAUAUGAAGGCGACCUUUCUCAGUUAUAUAGAAGCUGUCAAGAAAUGAAAAAGGCCUAUCACAACCUACUGAUGAAAUUUGGGGAAGCAGAAGAUCGAGACUCAGAAGAGCUUUUUGCCUGGAUCUCAGCUUUUAUCAGUGAUUUCAGAAGAGUCUCAGCCGAGAUUAUACCAUGAGUGCAGUAACUGAAUCGGCAAAACUGAACAGUGUUGCCUUGAGGGUGUCAGCGGAAAUCAGAUGAUUUGUGUGGUUAUUGUUUUAGUCAUUUGUACAUCAAUGAAUUUCUGCUUGAAUAUAACUUUCUUAAUGACAUUGCAGACCCUGUGCUGAAAAAACCUCUGCUGCCAGGAAGGCCCAAACUGGAUCUACAAUAGUUCUUCCAGCUAGAGGUGAAAUAAGGAAAACAGGACAGUUGAUUUGUUCUCAGGCCUGAACCAGUCUCUGAAUGUAAGCCAGGAACUUCCUAACUUUGUGAAAGACCAUGGACUAUAUAUGAUUUACCACUUUCUCUAAUGUGAACAGAGCAGUGCUUUCUACUGACCUCAGGGAUCUUGAACUAGAGAAAACAGCAUCCAGGUGUACAGGUGCCCUCAGUGCUGGCCCUAGACCAAAGAGUGCCCCAGCUGUUGAGUUCCACCCCCAAGCCCAGCAUCCUAGGUCAGGGGUGGAGAAACAUAGUCCUGGUGAGGAGGAAGAUUUUGUGGCAAAGCCUACUGGGAAGAGUUGUUGU